AAUCAACGCUGGCGGCGUGCCUCAGACAUGCAAGUCGAACGAUUAAAGCUCUCUUCGGAGAGUGUAUAGAGUGGCGCACGGGUGAGUAACACGUAAGUAAUCUACCUUUGAGUGGGGAAUAACCCGGGGAAACCCGAGCUAAUACCGCAUAAUGCAGCGGCACCGCAAGGUGACAGUUGUUAAAGGAGCAAUCCGCUUAAAGAGGAGCUUGCGGCAGAUUAGCAGUUGGUAAGGUAAUGGCUUACCAAGGCUUCGAUCUGUAUCCGGCCUGAGAGGGCGGUCGGACACACUGACACUGAAUAACGGGUCAGACUCCUACGGAGGCAGCAGUCGGGAAUUUUGGGCAAUGGGCGAAAGCCUGACCCAGCAACGCCGCGUGAAGGAUGAAGUA
rnacentral:rRNA from 1 species